UACGGAGGGUGCAAGUGUUAAUCGGAAUUACUGGGCGUAAAGCGCACGCAGGCGGUUGGGUAAGGUAGAUGUGAAAGCCCCGGGCUCAACCUGGGAAUUGCAUUUAAAACUGUCCGGCUAGAGUCUUGUAGAGGGGGGUAGAAUUCCAGGUGUAGCGGUGAAAUGCGUAGAGAUCUGGAGGAAUACCGGUGGCGAAGGCGGCCCCCUGGACAAAGACUGACGCUCAGGUGCGAAAGCGUGGGGAGCAAACAGG
rnacentral:rRNA from 1 species